rnacentral:tRNA from 1 species
AAAAACUUAGUUAACCCAUAACAUUAACCCGUCAUGUUAAAAUCAUUAAUUUUUAAUAGUUUUUA